UGGCUCAGAAGUGAACGCUGGCGGUGCGCCUAACACAUGCAAGUCGCGCGGUCCGCAAGGACAGCGGCGAACGGCUGCGUAACACGUUGGUACCUGCCCCGGACUCAGGGAUAACCCCGCGAAAGCGGGGCUAAUACCGGAUGGUCCCGCAAGGGUAAAGCUUUUGCGGUCCGGGAGGGGCCUGCGGCCUAUCAGAUAGUUGGUGAGGUAACGGCUCACCAAGUCUAUGACGGGUAGCUGGUCUGAGAGGACGACCAGCCAGAAUGGGACUGAGACACGGCCCAUACUCCUACGGGAGGCAGCAGUGAGGAAUCUUCCGCAAUGGGCGAAAGCCUGACGGAGCGACACCGCGUGAAGGAUGAAGCCCUUACCGGGUGUAAACUUCUGUUCUGAGGGACGAAAUUUUUGACGGUACCUCAGAAGGAAGCACCGGCUAACUCCGUGCCAGCAGCCGCGGUAAUACGGAGGGUGCAAGCGUUGCUCGGAAUUAUUGGGCGUAAAGGGUAGGUAGGUGGUCUUAUUUGUCUGGGGUGAAAGCCUUGAGCUUAACUCAAGAAGUGCCCCAGAAACGGUGAGACUAGAGUCCUGGAGAGGGUCGUGGAAUUCCCGGUGUAGCGGUGAAAUGCGUAGAGAUCGGGAGGAACACCAGAGGCGAAGGCGGCGACCUGGACAGGCACUGACACUCAACUACGAAAGCGUGGGGAGCAAACAGGAUUAGAUACCCUGGUAGUCCACGCUGUAAACGAUGGGUACUAGGUUUGGUGGGUCUUGACCCCCGCCGAACCGGCGCUAACGCACUAAGUACCCCGCCUGGGAAGUACGGUCGCAAGACUAAAACUC
rnacentral:rRNA from 1 species